GCUUCCUCUAGCGUGCAGCACCCUGAGCGUCCACGCGUGUUUGUGAAUGGUGAACCUUUGGUGAGUUGUGUACAAUCUCUCACACAUCGUUACCCGCGAAGGUUCUCUCUCACGCACUCAUCUGGCAGUCGGGCAUCAUCGUGCAAUAUCGUUAUGAAGGCACCUUCACAAAAGGCAGAGAAAAAAGUAGACAAAUCACCAAAAGCUGUUAAGGAAAAUAUAGAAGUCAAAACUCCAAAAUCAGCCAAGAAAAUGGGGAAAAAGUCUCCCAAAGUAGCAGAUAAUGAGACACCAAAGGCAUUUAAAAUAGAUAGCCCUCAAGUAUCCAAGGGAAACAAACAGGUGGAUGAAAACCAGAUGCAAAAAGUAGGGAAGAAGAAGAAGGAUAAGAAACAAAAACAGGAGAAAAUGGAUUUUAGCCCACAAGUGGAGACGUCUGGCAGUAAUAAAUUUGGAAAUGAGACCUCAAACGAUGCAUCUCCAAAAGGUGGAGCAAAAGAGGGCAGAGGGGGCUUCAGGGGAGGAGUACGUGGUGGCUUCAGAGGAGGCGACCGUGGUAGCUUCAGAGGAGGAGACCGUGGUAGCUUCAGAGGAGGAGACCGUGGUGGCUUCAGAGGAGGAGAUCGUGGUAGCUUCAGAGGAGACCGUGGUGGCUUCAGAGGAAGAGACCGUGGUAGCUUCAGAGGAGGAGACCGAGGUAACUUCAGAGGAGGAGACCGUGGAGGGUUCCGAGGAGGACGUGGAGGUUUCAGAGGAGGAGAACGUGGAGGUUUCAGAGGAGGAGACCGUGGAGGUUUCAGAGGAGGAGACCGUGGAGGUUUCAGAGGACGUGGAGGUUUCGGAGGAAGAGGAGGAGACCGUGACUGGACUGCACAACAAAAGGAGUUUGAUCCAUGUGGGGUCUAUGUAGCAUUCAACGAUUAUAUAGAAGGUGAUGAUGUCAAAAAGAUUUUCGAGAUUGCAAGUGCUGCCACUGAUUUCAGGAUUGGAAGAAUGGUUCAUAUGCAUUUUGACACAGAGGCACAGGCUGAUGAAGUAAAACAGAAGCUAGCAGAAAUAAACUUUGCACAUAAGCCAGAGAUUCAAAACACCUUUAAGUCAACAAUGUGGAAAAACAAGAGGCCUGCAAGUGAUGAUUCAGAGAGUAGUUCUCCUAGCAAAAAGCAGAAAGUUAAAGUGUUAGAUGAUAAAAGCAAUGAUAAUGAUGAUGAUGACGACGAUGAAGAUGAUGACGAAGAUGAAGAUGACGACGACGACGACGAUGAUGCCGUUGAUGAAGAUGAUGAUGAUUCUGAUGGACAACUAGUAGUAAAUGCAGGAAACCCUGAGGAGGACGAUGAUGAUGAUGAUGACGACGAUGAUGAUGGUGAUGACGAUGAUGACGAUGAUGACGACGAUGAAGAUGAUUAAAAUGUAUAGACAUACCUCGAUUAGCUCUGCCCAGAAGAGCAUAGGUUUUUUAUAGCACAUUCUCUUGAUUUGUUUUAUCUAUAUGUACAGCAUAAUAUGAAAUUCUGUCAUAUAUUUUUUCAAAUGGCUACAACACACUCGUUUAAUCGGUCACCCGUUUAAAUUAAUAUCUGAGAUGUACACCUCCCACUUAUUAUAAAUGAGGGAGGUGGGGAGUUGACAAAUUUAUACCAACCAUCCUUCUCCAGUUCAUAAUUUAAUGUGUGUCUGGACGUGCAUUUUUCAUAUACAAAGAAUGUGAGAAUACUGUAGGUAUUUAUAGAAUGUUGUAUAAUACUGUAGGUAUUUAUAGAAUGUUUUAUAAUUUUUCCAGUUAACCCAUGCCAUUUUAACAUGUCAUCAUUAAUAUAUUAUAAUGUUGAAAAUGCAUUUCUAUAAGAAUUGCUAUAGUGACUGAAAGUGUUGGUUCAGUAAGAAAUCCCACUUCCAGGAACUUCCACCCCCAUGCCCCAUUUACCUUCCGCUCUGCUAACUGGGGUAUGCCUUGUACAAUAACAGUUUCAAAUGUUGUUAGGAUAUUGUUUAUAUAAACAUUAUAAUGCAUAAAUAUGUAUUAAUACAUAGAUAUGUAAA
rnacentral:misc_RNA from 1 species